UGAUUUACCUGGGUACGACAUGUUAGGACUUACCUGGGUAUGUCAUGUCUUGAUUUACCUGGGUAUGACAUGUUAGGACUUACCUGGGAUUGUCAUGUCUUGAUUUACCUGGGUACGACAUGUUAGGACUUACCUGGGUAUGACAUGUUAGGACUUACCUGGGUGUGACAUGUUAUUAUAAUUCACCUGUAUUAGAUAUUUACAAGAUGAGAUUAAACUAGGGUACAUCUUUAUUAUUUAAUUGUUAAUUUUUUAAAAGUUUUAUUGCACUUGCCAAAACAGCAAGAGAGUUACAUCAUGUUCUGGUGUCCACCGUUGGCCUAUAACUUUCUCUUUAUAGUGCUGCUCCUCCAGAACUACAUAGCAUAUUUUGACUAAAUUGUAGACAAAUCAGCAACUAUAAGAAGUGCUUUAAUACCCUUCAAUUUUUUCUGGUUUACAUGAUAUGAACAUUUACUUGGGGGAGGUAAAAACUAGAGGGACUAAAAUAAACACUGGAAUAUAUUCUUAGAACAGAUAUACCAGUAUGUAAAGUGUACACAGAAUUUUAAAUACUACUGAUGGUGUGCUUAUACCCACUUAGUGAAAAAUGAGAAAUAACAAAUUUAUCUUCAGUUUUGUUGUAAACCAUCAAAAAAAAUUGCAUUUUUCGUGCAACUCUGAAUUUUUUCAAGGAGCAAACCAAAAUAAUGCGACUAUGUUUUAAGAAGAAAAAAGAAUCUUCUUUAAAAACACUGUAAUUUUUUUUUUAGUUUUUGAAUACAGUAUAUUAAAGUUACACAAACCUCACAGAUUUGUCUCCCCUUUGAACAUUUCACAGGUUAUCUCCCUUCUUACGUUUUUUGUUUAUCUUGCUUGAAUUUAUACUGCUUUGUUUACUUUGCCAUGUAUUUAAUAAAUUUCUUAACUUGAAA